GGUUUGUGGCUCAGUGGUAGAGUGCUUGCCUCACAUGUGUGUGGUCCUGGGUUCAAUCCUCAGCACCA
rnacentral:tRNA from 1 species